UGGUGUCCGUUAUACGUCCUCCACGCGCUACGGUCAUUUUCUUAAGCCCUGACUGUAGAGACGCUGCACGUUGAGGCCGGAUGGCAGCCCUUUUUCAAGUCACGGCACGCCGGGUCAGCACCCCGGCUGGCAUCGCACCAUGCCAGCUGGGGGAGUCCCCCACCUGGGACGAGGCGCACCAAGCUCUGUGGUGGGUCGACAUCCUUGGCGAGGCCCUGUACGUUGGCCAGCCGGCGCCAGGCAGCAUGUGUGAUUUCGACCGCGUCGCCGUGCUGCCGCUACCCGGGCACCGCCCUGGGUUCAUCGUGCACACCGCUCCAGGAGAUGCCUCUGGCACGGGAAAGCCAGGGGCGCACAGCGCCGCUCCGUACCAUGCCGUGUGGGGCUCGCAGAAGGGGCUGUACUACACCUCAUAUUCUACAACUUUGCCGUGGCGCAUCUCGGGACAGACGUGCCGGCCGCCCAAGCUGCGCGCCUUGACGCCGGUAUCGCACUAUCAGAUAGCCCGCUUUCCUCAGUCGCUUUUUCAACUACAGGGGGGCCGUGUCUACCGCUUCAACGACGGCAAAGUCGGGCCGGACAACUCUCUUUGGUGCGGUGGCAUCAUGGAGCGCACAGACAGCUUUCCUAGGCGCGACCUGGGGUGUGGCUCCCUGAUGCGGUGGGUCGCCGAAAGCCCCGCAAAGGCAUUGUCCUCCUCCUCGCCCUCUGUCACGAGCAAUGGCUUUUCGGUUGAGGUGCCUAACGUGACCGUGUCGAACGGGAUAGGGUGGUCCCCGGCUGGGGAUGUCUUGUACCACGUUGACACGCCUGCCGCCGUGAUUCGUGCAUACCCGUAUCAAGCUGUGCCCCCUGCGGACGGUCCCGAAAGGGGCCACCACCACGAAGGCAGGACAAGGGAUGCGGGGUACGUGUACUGGGCGCUGCCCAGUUCCCUGAGAGAGCGGGGUGCCACGCUUGACGGGCUGUGCGUGGACGCGUCGGGGGCGGUGUGGGUGGCGCUGGCGGGCAUCGGCGAGGUGGUGCGCCUGCAGGACCGCAAUGUCGGCGCCACAGUUGCUGAGCGGAUUGCUAUUACGGGCGUUGUCAAGCUGCCGGAGGUAGCACUGUGCACGAGCUGCUGUUUUGGCGACGCCGACCUCACCACGCUCUACAUCACCACCGCGCGUGGCACCUCGAAGGAGGCGGCGGCGUCCUGCAAGCAGGAGGGCGCAGGAUGGAUUUAUGCGGCAAACAUGAAAGGAAUUGCGAAGGGCAUGCCUGCCUCGCGGCUACGCCUGCCCGAGUCCAGUCUCUCAUCCCUGCAACAGCAUCACCUGUAGCGCGUGUAUGGGGCUGCGCGCAUGCAGCCGUCGUUUCUCCACACAGGCACGCGUGCCUUCCCCCGUCAUGCUUGUUUCGUGAUGGGCACAUGUCGAAUGCCAACUGUACUUCUAUGCUCUCUCCCUCUAUUUGGAUGACGCUCGCACAGUGGUGCGUGGCCGUAGCUCAAGUCCACAAGAAGAGUUCACUGAACACAAGCACGCAGGUAUCGCCAAGCUCCGAACUGUGACGAAGGGAGGCGCUGUCAUGGUCGUUUCCGUGAAGGCUCACAGACUUUCACAGAGGGUGAUUUCGUCUCAACUGUGCUCUCAAGGAAUGCAUGAGAGAAGAAAUCGAGGUAGCCUUGCGUUAAGCCUCUCACCCACCCACCCACCCCCGCCGAUUGCGCGCUAAUCUGUAAGCAAAGAGAAGGGCUGCGUAGAUGGUGAUCCGCGCGCGUGCUAUUGAGAUGGCGAUGCGCAUCACAGUUGUGCUUCCGUCUGUUUCGAGUAUUUCCUUUCUUCUUUCCUCCCCUCGUUGCCCUUUGCCUACCACGACCACUACCACCACCAAUGGACCUUGAUGCUUGCGCGUCCACACGUGCCGUACAUCGCUCGUGCCCCCCUCCCCUCUUGGGCCCUCCCUGGUCACUUCGCGCAG
rnacentral:misc_RNA from 1 species